GGCUGUGUGGUACAGUGGUUAGUACGUCUGAGUCUACGUUUGCUUGCGUAACCAGAAUUUGUCGGUUCGAAUCCGUCCGUAGCCU